UGAGCUGUGAUAAGGAUUGAUCAAUUUGGUUGUUUGCAUGAAUGAAGUAUUAUUUUUAUGCCUGGCUUCUGAGCUGC
rnacentral:snoRNA from 1 species